rnacentral:rRNA from 1 species
GACGAACGCUGGCGGCGUGCUUAACACAUGCAAGUCGAACGGAAAGGCCCUGCUUUUGUGGGGUGCUCGAGUGGCGAACGGGUGAGUAACACGUGAGUAACCUGCCCUUGACUUUGGGAUAACUUCAGGAAACUGGGGCUAAUACCGGAUAGGAGCUCCUGCUGCAUGUGGGGGGUUGGAAAGUUUCGGCGGUUGGGGAUGGACUCGCGGCUUAUCAGCUUGUUGGUGGGGUAGUGGCUUACCAAGGCUUUGACGGGUAGCCGGCCUGAGAGGGUGACCGGCCACCUUGGGACUGAGGUACGGCCCAGACUCCUACGGGCGGCAGCAGUGGGGAAUAUUGCACAAUGGGCGGAAGCCUGAUGCAGAAACGCCGCGUGCGGGAUGACGGCCUUCGGGUUGUAAACCGCUUUCGACUGUGACGAAGCGUGAGUGACGGUAAUGGGUAAAGAAGCACCGGCUAACUACGUG